CUUGAUGUGUGGCAUCAAUUGCAGUGAUUGAUAAUAAAAAUUCUCGUGUAUACCAUCUUUCGUCUUUCAUUUACCAUAAAUAUAUAUAUAUAUAUAUAUAUAUAUAUAUAUAUAUAUAUAU